GAUGGAUCAGUUGCCAAGUUCUUAUGUAAUGAGACACAAGGAAGGGGCAAGUGCUGAGGAAGGAGAAAGAACACUAUUGCACCAGCUAAGAUUCCAUGACUUCUAUCAGCUGGGACAACUGUGGCCUCAGCUCCAGUCAUCCUGGUACACACACUAGAGGUGGCCACCCUGAGCGUCUCCUUGGUGUCCCACAGCUCAGAACUGCUUUUAGAGCUCUGCUAGUUCGGUGCAGUGGCAAUGAGCCAGAAGAAUACAUUCAUGUUAUAUCCUUCAGGGAAACACAAGCUGCUCAAAAGCUGCCCACUGGGUGUUCACAAAAUAGAGAUGUGUUAAUGCUGGCUGACAUCUUGAAGCCCUUUGUAAUCCUGUUUUCCCUUCCCAUGAUUCUACAAGAGGAAACAAGAAAGCUUCCUGCAGGGAAAAAAUGGCUCUGCUGUGCAGUUUUAACCUUGCUGGUGUGA
rnacentral:lncRNA from 1 species